UGGGGAAUUUUGGACAAUGGGCGAAAGCCUGAUCCAGCAAUGCCGCGUGUGUGAAGAAGGCCUUCGGGUUGUAAAGCACUUUUGUCCGGAAAGAAAUCCUUGGCUCUAAUACAGUCGGGGGAUGACGGUACCGGAAGAAUAAGCACCGGCUAACUACGUGCCAGCAGCCGCGGUAAUACGUAGGGUGCAAGCGUUAAUCGGAAUUACUGGGCGUAAGCGUGCGCAGGCGGUUUGCUAAGACCGAUGUGAAAUCCCCGGGCUCAACCUGGGAACUGCAUUGGUGACUGGCAGGCUAGAGUAUGGCAGAGGGGGGUAGAAUUCCACGUGUAGCAGUGAAAUGCGUAGAGAUGUGGAGGAAUACCGAUGGCGAAGGCAGCCCCCUGGGCCAAUACUGACGCUCAUGCACGAAAGCGUGGGGAGCAAACAGGAUUAGAUACCCUGGUAGUCCACGCCCUAAACGAUGUCAACUAGUUGUUGGGGAUUCAUUUCCUUAGUAACGUAGCUAACGCGUGAAGUUGACCGCCUGGGGAGUACGGUCGCAAGAUUAAAACUUAAAUGAAUUGACGAGGUC
rnacentral:rRNA from 1 species